GACCGGCGCACGGGUGAGUAACACGUAUCCAACCUGCCGAUGACUCGGGGGAUAGCCUUUCGAAAAGAAAGAUUAAUACCCGAUGGCAUAGUUCUUCGCAUGGUAGAACUAUUAAAGGAUUUCGGUCAUCGAUGGGGAUGCGUUCCAUUAGGUGUUGGCGGGGUAACGGCCCACCAAGCCUUCGAUGGAUAGGGGUUCUGAGAGGAAGGUCCCCCACAUUGGAACUGAGACACGGUCCAAACUCCUACGGGAGGCAGCAGUGAGGAAUAUUGGUCAAUGGACGAGAGUCUGAACCAGCCAAGUAGCGUGAAGGAUGACUGCCCUAUGGGUUGUAAACUUCUUUUAUACGGGAAUAAAGUGAGGCACGUGUGCCUUUUUGUAUGUACCGUAUGAAUAAGGAUCGGCUAACUCCGUG
rnacentral:rRNA from 1 species